GUGGGGAAUAUUGGGCAAUGGGCGCAAGCCUGACCCAGCAACGCCGCGUGAAGGAAGAAGGCUUUCGGGUUGUAAACUUCUUUUAUUAGGGACGAUAAUGACGGUACCUAUUGAAUAAGCUCCGGCUAACUACGUGCCAGCAGCCGCGGUAAUACGUAGGGAGCAAGCGUUAUCCGGAUUUACUGGGUGUAAAGGGCGUGUAGGCGGGACUGCAAGUCAGAUGUGAAAACUAUGGGCUCAACUCAUAGCCUGCAUUUGAAACUGUAGUUCUUGAGUGCUGGAGAGGCAAAUGGAACUCCUAGUGUAGCGGUGAAAUGCGUAGAUAUUAGGAAGAACACCAGUGGCGAAGGCGAUUUGCUGGACAGUAACUGACGCUGAGGCGCGAAAGUGUGGGGAGCAAACAGGAUUAGAAACCCUAGUAGUCC
rnacentral:rRNA from 1 species